CAUAAAAAACAAAUGAACAACAACAAAAAAAGAAAACAUUUUUAAUCUUACAGUACAGCACCUUGGAAAGUACGGUAGUACCAGCUACAUCACUGCUGCAUUUAUGCUUGCUUCUGGGCAUCCUGGGUUUGAAAUAAAGAUACUGUACUACUGGACUCUGUACAGUACUGUACAGUGAAGUACACAAAAGUAC